CAGUUAGAGGUUAUACAAGAUAAGGACAUGACAGUGAUUGUUGCACAAGCAAGAGGAAAUGCUGAAGAGACUGGCUUUUCAUUUGUUCAUUGUAGCAUAACUGGAAAAGCAAAAGGAGCAUUCCUAGGCCGAGCAUGGAUGCCAGCUCCUAAGGCGAUAUUUGCAUAUAGUACCAUAAGUGAUGUUAUCUGUCCCGAAGGAUGGUCUAACAAUCAACAUCCUGAACGAGAGCCGUAAGAAAUUUUUAACUAAUAUUUGUAAACUCAAUGACUAAUAUAUAACACUCAUUUUGCAUAUUUCAAUAAUUUUCUGUGGGCUUUGCAGAGAGAUCUUCUUUGGAGAAUAUAAAAAUACAGGACCUGGCGCAGCUAUUGAGGGACGUGUUAAAUUUGCCAAGCAACUAACUGAAGCCGAAGUAAAACCUUUCAUUUCUCUCAGUUAUAUUGAAGGUUCUAAAUGGCUGCUUCCUCCUCCCAAAUUGUGAGGAGGUUAUUUGUUGCAAGAAAUAUAUAAAUUUGAGAGCAAUGAUGUUUAGGGUACACGAAGUCAUACUUGCCUGGGGUGAAUAAACUAGGUUAUUAUCAUAAACCUAAUGUAAUUUCUUUUCAGAAUAAUAAUUUUAUAAUUAUCAUAUCUUAUUAUUAUAAAUAUUUUUAUUUUUAGUUAUUUUAAUAGUUUUUCUUCCACAAUUGUCGAUGAAUGUAUGUUUCUCAUGGUUAUAUUUAUUUUCUCUUGAUAAAAAAGGAGAUUUGAUAUUUGUUAAAAGAAUGGUUAAAUACAAUUCAUUUAAAAUUUUUCACUUUAUUCAUUGACAAUGCUAUCCAUACAUUUUAUUUUUUUCAAUAUAUCCUAUCUCUCUAUUUUUUUACUUUAUUAUAUUAUUUUAAUAUUUAUAGUAAAAUUAAAAUUUAAUAAAUAUCUAAAAUUAAGAGAUGAAGCCAUAAAUUUUAUCCCAGCUCGUAUAUUUAAGUAUUUGUAUUAUUUAUUUAAUUUAUUUGUUAACUUAUGUAGUCAUAUUUAAAAAAAAUACAACUCAAAAAUAAAAUAUUCUAAACUAAUGUAGUAGACCAAUUAAUUUUUGUACAAAAUAAAAUAAUCACUAAAAAAAUUAAUUCUUUCCAACUUAUAUUGAUGCCUCCAAAUUAUAUAUUUUUUUCUUGUAUUUAAGUAUUACCUCAAGUCUCAUGUAAUUUUUUAAAAAGACCAAAUAUGGACAUGAGAUAAAAAUAGGACAAAUAAUUUCAAAAAUGGAAAUAUUAACAAAACAUGUUAAUCCAUAUAUAUUUCGAUGUGUUGAAAAUAAUUUAAAGGUUUAUAUAUAUCUUAUGGAAUAAUUUUAGUCCAUUUGGCCUUCAAUACUAAAGUAUUUUAUACUCAUUAAAAUUAUUAGAUACUGGUAUGAAUACAAACUGAAUAAAUGCAACUUAAAUAUGUGUAUUUUAAGUCAAUUUGUAUUUUAAGUCAACUUAAAUAGUAUCAUAGUUGUGGGUUUGCUUUCGCAAGAACCCACGUCUCUACACCAUCCACAAUAGUAAUUUUGAAUAGCUCCAUUAAAACACAUUCGUGAGAGAGAAGGAAAAAAAAUAUUUUAAUGAUAAGUUUCCUAUUACCAACUCUCAUGUUUAAGUUUUAUUUACACUUACACUAAUUCAACACGUUGCAAAAGCUUUUUUCAAUUUUUAAAAUAAAUACGUUUUUGCUUCCGCUGGAUUACUUUUGCUCAACCAAAUUUAUUAUGAUUGAUAUUAUAAAUUCAUAUACUAGAUUUGUUAAUUUUCUAAUACAUUGUUUUUCCUUGAACAUAAACAAUAAUUUCUAUUGUACCAAUUUAAGCAAAAUUACUCCCUCUAACUUAACAAUUGACGAUUGAUUUAUGAAGAGUUAUGGCAGAAUUGAAUUCGGAGAAAAGUGGUCGGAAAAAACAAUAAAUAUGUAUUAAUAGGACCAAAUUUUGAAGAGAUCCAUUCGUGAAAGGAGAGGAAAAAAAAAAAAUUUAAUAUCAAGUUUCCUGAUACCAAUUCUGAUGUUUGAGUUUUAUUUACACUUACACUAAUUCAAGAUAUAGCAAAAGGCUUUUUCGUUUUUUAAAAUAAAUACGCUUUUGCUUUCGCUAGAUUACUUUUGCUAAACCUAAUUUAUUAUGAUUGAUAUUACAAAUUUAUAUACUAGAUUUGUUAAUUUUCUAUUACACGGUUCUUCCCUGAACAUCAAAAAUAGUUUCCACUGUACAAAUUUAGGCAAAAUUACUCCCUCUAACUUAACAAUUGAAGAUUGAUUUAUGAAGAGUUAUGGCAGAAGUGAGUUUGGAGAAAGUGGUCGGAAAAAAUAAUAAAUAUGUAUUAGUAGGACCACAUUUUUAUAUCUAUAACUCAUUUUUUAAGUUAUUAAAAUAGUUAACACUGAAAAGUUUAGGUAAAAUAGUUAAGUUUUAAAUGUAUUUUACAUUGUUUUUUAGUAUGCAAAAAAAAUAUUACUUGUAUUUAUUUUGAAUUACAAAAUAACUAAAGAAAUAAAAAAUAAAAUUAACACAAGCCACAAAUUUCAAACAAGAUAAACGAGAAACACUCCCAUUAUUGCAAAAGAAAGCAAGAGAAUGCGAUAAACUUUCUAAAUCUCAAUUGUAUUCAGACUUCUUCCUCUUCAGUGUUAUAUAAAUUGCCACAUUCAUAACAAAAAAGAAACAUAUCAAGAAACUAAAAAUCUAUACAAGAUGAUUAAACACCUUAGUCUCCUCGCAUUCGUCGAAUAGGCAAUCAUCGCCAUUGUUUUUACAGACAUAAAUGUUAGCUCUGAUGAUGCAGCACCAAUGCCAGAGGCUGAAGCUGAAGUAAACGCUUGGUUUGAAGCUAAUGUCAAGCCAUUGGCAGAUCGUAAGGGCACUUUAAAUGCUGACCUUGAAGCAGCUGAAGCUACUCCCAAAACUAUUACGGUGAGAGCAGACGGAAGUGGAGAGUUCAAGACUAUAACAGAUGCUGUUAAGAGCAUUCCAGCCAAAAAUGCACAACGCGUGAUUGUGGAUAUUGGACCUGGAACCUAUACCGAGAAAAUUACCGUUGAAAAAGAUAAGCCCUUUGUUUCGUUUGUCGGAGUACCUGAGAAGACAAUCAUAGAAUUUGCUGGCACUGCUCAUGAAUAUGGAACUGUGUAUAGCGCAACAUUACAAGUUGAGUCUGAUUUCUUCGUGGGAAGCGGUUUAGUUAUCAAGGUCCAUUUACAAUGCUUUUGCUUUUCUUCCGUUAUUUAUGCUUUUCAUUUCUGUCACAUUUUAACAAUUUAUGGAUUUACUAUCGCAUUAGAAUACUGCACCUGCGCCUGAUGGAAAAAGACCUGGAGCCCAAGCAGUUGCUUUCAGAAUUGCUGGAAGUAUGUCAAGUUUUUACAAUUGCAGAUUUAUUGGAUUUCAAGAUACAAUAUGCGAUGACAAAGGAUUUCACUUUUUUAAAGACUGUUACGUUGAAGGCACCGUUGAUUUCAUUUUUGGGAGCGGAAAGUCUAUUUAUCUGGUAAUAAAACUUCCAUUAGAACUCAACAUAUAUUGGAUUUGUUUAUAUGCACAUGAUAUCUUUAUUUAUGAAUAUCAACAUCAACAUCAACAUAUAUUCUAUGCAGAAUACCCAGUUAGAGGUGCUGCAAGAUAAGGAAAUGACAGUGAUUGUUGCACAAGCAAGAGGAAACGCUGAAGAUACUGGCUUUUCAUUUGUUCAUUGUAGCGUAGCUGGGAAAGCAAAAGGAGCAUACCUAGGCCGAGCAUGGAUGCCAGCUCCUAAGGCGGUAUUUGCAUAUAGUACCAUAAGUGAGGUUAUCUGUCCCGAAGGAUGGUCUAAUAAUGAACAUCCUGAAAGAGAGCCGUAAGAAAUUUUUAACUAAUCUCUUUAAACUCAUAAAAUGACUUAUCUAUAAUACUCAUUUUGCAUAUUUCAAUAAGGUUCUGUGCACUUUGCAGAGAGAUCUUCUUUGGAGAAUUUAAGAAUUCAGGACCAGGCGCAGCUGCUGAUGGACGUGUUAAAUUUGCCAAGCAACUGACUGAAGCAGAAGUAAAACCUUUCAUUUCUCUUAGGAUGCCAGCUCCUAAGGCGAUAUUUGCAUAUAGUACCAUAAGCGAGGUUAUAUGUCCCGAAGGAUGGUCUAAUAAUGAACAUCCUGAAAGAGAGCCGUAAGAAAUUUUAGCUAAUCUCUUUAAUCUCAUAAAAUGACUUAUCUAUAAUACUCAUUUUGCAUAUUUCUAUAAGGUUCUGUGAAUUUUGCAGAGAGAUCUUCUUUGGAGAAUUUAAGAAUUCAGGACCAGGUGCAGCUCCUGAUGGACGUGCUAAAUUUGCCAAGCAAUUAACUGAAGCAGAAGUAAAACCUUUCAUUUCUCUUAUUUAUAUUGAAGGUUCUAAAUGGCUGCUUCCUCCUCCCAAAUUGUGAGGACUAUAUUUAUAGCAGGAAGUAUAUGAAUUUGAGCGCAAUGAUGUUUAGGCGUACAUGGCCAUCUACGCCGGAAGAAUCCCUUGUUAUUUUGGAAGGCCUAUCUUAUGGUUUUGGCAUCUUAGUUACCACUUGUAAAUAAGCCAGAUUAGAGUAAUAUAUCUGGUUCUGCAAUUUUCCCAACAAUGAUUUUGCAAUUAUCUCAUUUAUUAGUUUCAUGUAAUUUUUAGUCAUUUUAUAAUUAUUAGCCCAUAAAUACAUGUUUUCUCCCCCAUUGACUUCAAUUUUCCAUUUGAUACAAACCAUAAAUUUUCUUUCUAAAUACUGAUUAAUAAAUAGAAUAUUCAGAAUAAAGAGUGUCUGCGUGUAAUUAUGGAUAUACUAACUAAAUAAGGAAUGAAAACUAACUAAUUAGGAGCCAAUCAGGUGGUGGUCUGGUUGGUCUUCUCUCUUAUGUGAGGAGUGGGAGGCUGCCCUGUGUUGUAUAGUCCAUAGUAUUAUUUCGGUCUAUAAAAGUCUCUAAUGAAUUUAAAAAACUAACUAAUUAGGAAAAAAAAAAAGAUUUUUUAACUAAAAAGGAAAGAUAAAAUCUAACUACAUAAGAAAAUAUCAUUGCCUUAACUAAAUAGGGACAAAGAUACAUAAUAUAUAAGAACAAUAAAUAAAAUUUUAAAAUAAUAUCCUAAGAAAUAAACAAUAAUGCUAUAUAAGAAUUUCAUCCAAAUAAGUUGUGUUAACUGUUAGGUACACAUACACAUGAAAUUUGUAGCUUUGUAGUGUUGCACUCUAGCUAUGACAAUCUUGAUGCAAUAUAAAUUAAAUCUUUCAUAUUUUAUUCAUAGAAAUUUUUGAGGUCGGAUGGCAUUUAAAUAAUGGAAUGUAUACAUCUCAUGAAUUUGCUAGAUUCUUUCAAUUAAUAGAGAAAAAAAAUGAAGUAUGCUACAUGGAAUUAAUAGAUUUCGAGGUAUCCCCAAUUACAUUAAUUUAGAAGAGAGAAAAAUAUCAUCUCAAUGCUGGAAUUUUCUCAAUUCUAUCAUUAUUAAUCAUUUAAUUUUUUUUCCAAAAAUAUCUUUUAAAUUCAUGGAUUAUAUUUUUUCAUUUAAAUAAUGGAAUAUGAAAUUCCAUUGAUUUUACAAUUCAUAAAUUUUAUAUUUCGUGAAUUUGGUAAAUUUUAUGACCAAAUUUCAUCAAUUUAAAUUAUCUCCUUGAGACUAAAAAAGUGUGAAGUAAGACAGAUGUUAAAAGUUUUAACAAUGAUUGUACAUUUGUUUUUUUUUUUUUUUUUUUUUUCUUGAAAACAUUGUACAUUUGUUGUUAAUCUCUUGCAAGUUCCAUGUGAAUUGAAGAUUUUUUUUUUUUUUUUUAAAGUUUCCGAAUGCUAUAAAUAAUAGAAAUUCAUUGUUCAAGAUCAGUACUACAAAUUAGCACAUUCAUUAAAGUUUUAAGAACCAAACUUUAUGAAAUUCAAACAUGACUAUAUUAAAUUCUAGAAUAUAAAAACUAUGAAGACCUCCUCGACCGUAAGAUUCAGAAUCUGACAGAAUUAAAAAUAUAUUCAUGCAGAAGAUGACAAAAAAUGAAUUUUUUAGAAAUUAUUUCGGUAUUUUUUUUUAGUGUACUUUAAGAUCUGGUUAAAGCUCCACUGAUGAAAAUAAAAAUUUUUUAAAAAUUAUUUCUACUUUAUUUCUUUUUUCCUUUAGCUUUAAAGUCUGGAUUUUUUUCUUACAAAAUCAAGAUAUAGUUGAAGAAUAAUAAUUUCUUUGUCAGGUAAAAAGAAAAAAUUGCAACACAUAAUUUUGAUGUAUGCCACACGGCGGAUUUAUGUUCACGACAAAGUUUCUUUAUAUAUAUAGAAAUAAAAGCAGAGCAGUUUGCAAUAUAUAAAGCAAAGCAUAAGUCUAUGAAAUUAUCAAAUGUGAGGAGAAUAACAAUUAUUUAGGACAAUUAUAGUUGGACAAUAAUUAUUUAGGGUAGUUGUAAGAACAUGAGUUAUUUUAUAUUUUCCAAAAGGUUGGAUGAAUUAUUAAAAAUUAAAAUUAAAAUUAAAAUUAAAUAAAAAAUUAAAAAGAGAUACAGUAGGGACCAACAACCACUGUAAUAUAUACUUACAACUUUUUAUUUUUAUUUUUUAUUUUUCAUUUUUCCCACUCAAUUACGCAUCAUGAUUAAAGUUAGGGUUUCGAAACACAGAUUGCGGAAGAUCAGUAAGCAUUUAUCAGGAUUCUGUUAUUCAUGAUUUAUUUUAUAUGGCUGUUUGGCUCUAAAGAAAACCCUGUAAAAAAACCAUAUCAGUUUCCUUUUGUUUGCGGCAAUUAUAAAGUCUAAGUUUUUCUGUUAGCUUUUAUAUGUUUGUUGUGUGUUCAUAAUGAAUGUGAGAUUCUUUUUUGUUAUCUAAUUUGACAUAACGCACUCAAACAGGAAUUAGUUUGCUUUUUAUUUAAAUGUCCUUUUCUUGGUUUAAUAUUAUUUAGAUAUUGGAAGUCCAAGCAAACUCCAGUAUAACUCCAAGCUUGAAAUCCCUUCAUGAAACCCACAUCAAGUUCUUUUUAAUCUAUUCCAAAAAUCUGUCCAUGAGUAGUUAUCCAGUGCUCAAUUUGCACUUGAAACAACAAAGAUUUUUUUUUUUUUUUUUCCACUCCCCAAGUACCUGUUUAUAAAGCCUAAUUCUCCAAAUAAAUAUCUUUCACUUCUAGCUUUCAUAUCAACCCAAAACCAGGUUUCUACAGGUGAAGAAGACAUUCAGUUUACUUAAAAUAUACAUGUGAUGAUGUGUUGCAGUUUUUGGUUUUGCAUACUAAAGACUCUUUUCAUUAAGCUGCUUCUCCUCUAGGAUGUCAAAUUGGCCAUUCCCAUCUAAUAUGGACGUUCAAACGUAAUAUAAUCUAAAUGACUCUUCUUCAUAUUUAGAAAGGGCAGCUUUUAUUCCUGUAAACCGAGGCAUAAAUUAUUAGUUUCACUAACUGGACUGCGUUAGAGUUUAGGCAGUUUUUGCUCUAUACACUCUCAUGUGUUUGCGUUAGAGUUUUUAUUUGCAUCAAUAUUUUUUCCUAAUGGUUCAUCUUUGAUUUCAGGGAGAUCGUAUCCAUGCACUGAUUAGUAAAAAUAUUAUUCGUUUAUUCAAAUCAAAGAUACACGAGUUUAGAUUAUAUUUCAUGAAGAACUUUAUAAUUGCACCAAAUAAUUAUAUAGAAAAUCGUUUCACAUAUAUUUUCUAUGAGUUGCUACUAUUGAUUUUAUAGGAAAAUAACCGAGUUUGGCUCAUUGUGGUUAAUGCCGUACUUUUUUUCCUAAGUAUUAUUAUUUGAUGCAGUUUAUACCAUGCAUGAUUUUUGUUAUGCAUACCCUAGUAAAAGGCUUCACAUGAUACUUAAGAAUCUCUCAAUAAAAUAAAAUUUUGUAAUGCAUUUCAAUGAGAUACUUUAUUAUACAAUUUUAUUAUUUUUCAAUGCUGUUAUAAAAGAUAAUUUCAUCAUUCAAUAUUGCUUCGUGCAUCACGCAAGUUCUUACAUGAAUAAUAUAUAAAAGUAAUGUAGUUUGCCUUAUAUGGUGUAAGUAGCACAAUUUGCCAUUUGACAUUAUUUUGAAUUAUAGAGUGACAGAUGUUAGAAUUUUAAUACAAUCUGCCACUUGGCGGUGUUUUGAAUUAUAAAAUGACAAAUAUUAGAAUUCUAACACAAAUUAGCAUAAUUGUAAGAAUUGUAAGAAUUGUAAGGAGAUCAGUUAUUUUAUAUUUUCAGAUGAUUCCUUUAUCAACAUAAUAUCUAUAAAAAAAAUUAUCUUUAGCAUUCAAUAUAUUAAUAUAAAUUUAUUUCUUUUUACAAAAUAAUUAAUAAGUAAUCCACACACAUAAAAAAAUUGUGAAUAAACAAUAUAUUACUAUUAAAUAAACAAUAUAUAAACAAUUUAAAAAAUAUAAAUUGUAAUGUACUGAAUACGAUAAUUUUUUUUUAAAAAAAUAUGACAUUCACACGCUUAGAACACAUACAUUCAAUAAGUAAUAUAUUAAUAUUUCAAAUAAAUAAAUAGUCACUUAUAAUAAAUUAUAAAUAAAUUUAAAAAGUUAAUUUCUUAUUUCAAUCAUACAAUUCUAAUUUUGAAGAGCUCCAUUCGUGAAAUGAGAGGAAAAAAAUAUUUAAUAUCAAGUUUCCCAAUACCAAUUCUGAUGUUUGAGUUUUAUUUACACUUACACUAUUUCAAGAUAUAGCAAAAGCCUUUUUCGAUUUUUAAAAUAAAUACGCUUUUGCUUUCGCUAGAUUACUUUUGCUAAACCAAAUUUAUUAUGAUUGAUAUUAUAAAUUUAUAAAUUAGAUAUGUCAAUUUUCUAUUACACAGUUCUUCCUUGAACAUCAAAAAUAGUUUACACUGUAUCAAUUUAGACAAAAUUACUCCCUCUUACUCAACAAUUGACAAUUGAUUUAUGAAGAGUUAUGGCAGAAUUGCGUUUGGAGAAAGUGAUCGGAAAAAAACAAUAAAUAUGUAUUAGUAGGUCCAAAUUUUUACAAUCAUAACUCAUUUUUUAAGUUAUUAAAACAGCAGCACCGAACAGUUUAGGUAAAAUAGUAAAGUUUUAAAUGCAUUUUACAUUUUUUUUUUUUUGUGCAAAAAAAAAAAAAAAUCUUGUAUUUAUUUUGAAUUACAAAAUAAAUAAAUAAAAAAAAAAUAGAAGUGACACAAGCCACAAAUUUCAAACAAGAUACACGAGAAUCACUCCCAUUACUGCAGAAGAAAGCAAGAGAAUGCGAUAAACUUUCUAAAUCUCAAUUGUAUUAAGACUUCUUCCUCUUCAGUGUUAUAUAAAUUGCGAAUUCAUAAUAAAAAAGAAGCAAGAAACAUAUCAAGAAACUAAAAAUCUAUACAAGCUGAUUAAACGCCUUAGUCUCCUCGCAUUCGUCGUAUAUGCCAUCAUCGCCAUUGUUUUUACAGCAAUAACUGUUAGCUCUGAUGAUGCAGCACCAAUACCAGAGGCUGAAGCUGAAGUAAACGCUUGGUUUGAAGCAAAUGUCAAGCCACUGGCAGACCGUAAGGGCACUUUAAAUGCUGACCUUGAAGCGGCUGAAGCUACUCCCAAAACUAUUAAGGUGAGAGCAGACGGAAGUGGAGAGUUCAAGACUAUAACAGAUGCUGUUAAGAGCAUUCCAGCCAAAAAUGCACAACGCGUGAUUGUGGAUAGUGGACCUGGAACCUAUACCGAGAAAAUUACCGUUGAAAAAGAUAAGCCCUUUGUUUCGUUUGUCGGAGUACCUGAGAAGACAAUCAUAGAAUUUGCUGGCACUGCUCAUGAAUUUGGAACUGUGUAUAGCGCAACAUUACAAGUGGAGUCUGAUUUCUUUGUGGGAAGCGGUUUAGUUAUCAAGGUCCAUUUACAACGCUUUAGCUUUUCUUCCGUUAUUUAUGCUUUUCAUUUCUGUCACGUUUUAACAAUUUAUGGACUUACUAUUGCAUUAGAAUACUGCACCUCCGCCUGAUGGAGUAAGACCUGGAGCGCAAGCAGUUGCUUUCAGAAUUGCUGGAAGUAUGUCAAGUUUUUACAAUUGCAGAUUUAUUGGAUUUCAAGAUACAAUAUGCGAUGACAAAGGGUUUCACUUUUGGAAAGACUGUUACGUUGAAGGCACCGUUGAUUUCAUCUUUGGGAGUGGAAAGUCUAUUUAUCUGGUAAUAAAACUUCCAUUAAAACUCAACAUAUAUUGGAUUUUGUUUAUAUGCACAUAGUAUCUUUAUUUCUUGAAUAUCAACAUCAAUAUAUAUUCCAUGCAGAAUACCCAGUUAGAGGUUAUACAAGAUAAGGACAUGACAGUGAUUGUUGCACAAGCAAGAGGAAAUGCUGAAGAUACUGGCUUUUCAUUUGUUCAUUGUAGC
rnacentral:lncRNA from 1 species